UACGGAGGGUGCAAGCGUUAAUCGGAAUUACUGGGCGUAAAGGGCGCGUAGGCGGUACGUUAGGUCUGCCGUGAAAUCCCCGGGCUCAACCUGGGAAUGGCGGUGGAAACCGGCGCACUAGAGGAUGGGAGAGGGUGAUGGAAUUCCAGGUGUAGCGGUGAAAUGCGUAGAGAUCUGGAGGAACAUCAGGGGGGAAGGCGGGGAGCUGGCCCAAUACUGACGCUGAGGCGCGACAGCGUGGGGAGCAAACCGG
rnacentral:rRNA from 1 species